rnacentral:rRNA from 1 species
UACGUAGGGACCAAGCGUUGUUCGGAUUUACUGGGCGUAAAGGGCGCGUAGGCGGCCGGGUUGGUCGUGGGUGAAAUCCCCCCAGCUUAACUGGGGAAGGGCCUACGAUACUGCCUGGCUCGAGGGAGGAAGGGGCGGUCGGAACUGUCGGUGGAGCGGUGAAAUGCGUUGAUAUCGACAGGAACGCCGGUGGCGAAAGCGGACCGCUGGCCCUCUUCUGACGCUGAGGCGCGAAGGCAUGGGGAGCGAACAGG